rnacentral:ncRNA from 1 species
UUGUACUUUAUUUAGUAUAAUUUUUUAUUUUUUUUUUUUUUUAUGUAAACUGUAAAUUUAGAAUAUUUAAGAAUUUGAUUUUAGUUUAAUUUUUUAUAAUAUUGUGGAAAUUACAUGAAAAUUUUUGUAGGUAAAAAAUAUUAUUUAAAAUAAAUUUGGUAGUAUAAAUAUUUAUAAUAAUUAUUAAAAUCUCAGUAUAAAAUAUUAAUGUCUUAUUAUAUGAAAAUAUGAAUUAGUCGCAAUGAUAAUCCUGAAAAAUGUUUGUGCCAGCUUUCGCGGUUAUACUUCAAGGAUAUAUAAAAAUAUUUAGGGUUAGUUGAAUGUAAUUUUUUUUAUUAUGAUUAUAUUAAAAGGUAAAAUUAAUUUAAUUUUUUCAUAGAUAAAAUAAAUUAAGAUUGAAGCUAAAAAGUUUUAGUUAUAAACUAGGAUUAGAUACCCUAUUAUUCUAAAAUUACUUAUUACCUAAACUAGUAAUAGAUAUUUACUUAAAAUUUAAAAGAUUUGGCGGUAAUUUAAUCUUUUCAGAGGAAUUUGUUUUUUAAUCGAUAAUCCGCGAAUUAUCUUACUUACUAAGGUGGAGAAUAAAGUUUGUAUACCAUCAUUAUCAGAUAAUUUUUAAAAGAUAAAUUAUUAUAAGUAAAAAUUUAACUAAAUUAGAUCAUGGUGCAGCUAAUGAGUAAGUUAAAAUGAAUUACAAUAAAAUUUUUUACACGGAUAAAUAGAAGAAUUUGUAUUUAGAAGGAGGAUUUGAUAGUAUCUUAAGUUUAAUAUGCUUAGGAGAUAAAGGCUCUAAAUUAUGUACAUAUCGCCCGUCGCUUUCAUUUAUGGAUGAAAUAAGUCGUAACAUAGUAAAGGUAUUGGAAAAUGUCUUUGGAUUUA